GUGAACUUCCUUCAUGAAAACCGGCUCGAGAAGGGUCUAGUUUGAAAAUUUAGCUAUUAAUUUCGAUUUCAUGAGCAUAUUUUGGUUGCACGUUAAAUAUUUUUGUACUUGAUGAGAUUCAAAAUUUGUUGUAUAUUCAAGUCCGGCUUUAGUGUAAUUUUGGUGAUGACCGGAACAGAAAUAAAGAUAUUUUAAAAACUGGCCGUGGCCUCACGAUAAAACUUUCUAAAAAU